UUUUUUAUUUAAAUGCUAUAGUAAAAGAACUUAGUUAAACUUGAAAUCUGGCUCAUAAUUCAAGAACAACAUUGUGGUGUUGCAUAAAAAGUUUUUGAGCCAAAGGAAUUGUUCGGGCAUUUUUAGAAAUUGAAUAAGUCAUUUAAUAUGCUAUUGGACCACUAUAUAAUUUGGUGAGGGCAUUUUUAAUAAUUCAAAUGAGGUUGGUUAACUCAUCACAAUUUAAUACUGAAUAAAUGCGACACCGCGAACAUUUUUUUUUACAGUUUGAAGAAAUAAUAUUUUGACUUGGAAUUUAAAUUUGAAUUCGAACGCUGUUUGAAUUAAUGUGAGUUUAGCAACAGUAAUCGUGGUGAUGUGGCAACAUUAGUGAAAGGGGGAAGGUUUGGUUACUAAUCUAGUGGGUCUUCUCAUCCCGGCUUGCUCUUCUCGAAGAGGUCGGUCCAAUACAUUGAUGCCUUUAUUUCUUCAGAAACUCCAUUGUACUUACGAAAGAAUAAAGGGGGUAGUCCGGGAGAACGGAACUCUGCAAGGUCGACUAUCUGGUCAAUAACAUCGAGGAAGGUGGCGGAACUCUUGAACUGAAACUUAAGAAAAUACCAAGAGCCAAGUAAGAAGGUACAUCAUAGAAGUUUCAAGCACAUAGGCAAUCGUUCGAUGCCUGAUACGAAAUGUGAAAGGGGUUCAGAGCAAUGGGAAUAAGUAUUGCGUCUGAUACCAGAAUAGAUUACUAGGCAGGUGGCCCGUGAUUUACAUACGAAGUCAAGCUCAAGGAAUAUCUUUCACAACAAGGGAUACAGGAGAGUCAGGUUCCGAUCUUGGGACCUUUGGGUUAUGGGCCCACCAUGUGGGUUAAAAGUAGGAAGGGGGAUGACGUCUUGCAUGAUCAUGUAAGCAAGGCAUGUCAGAGGAUAGACUAUCGAUUAUGUCGGCAACAACCAUUGGUACCAAGGGCGAGGGACGAAGAGAACCAUUUUCCUGCUCGUUGAACGAGGCGGGCCAAUAGGCAAGGUUCUCGUCCAUCGGUGGUUACCGGAAUGUCAUCAACAAAAGUAACAGGGUCUUUCUGACAGAAUUGUACAUCGAGAAGUUUACAUAAGCAGGAGAAUAUUACUGCUUAGAUCAUAUAGAACACCAGAAAGGUCAAACAAACCAAUGAAAAGGAAAUUUGAUCAUCAGGUUAAACAGAACAAUGGAAAGGAAAAAUGUGUUUAAACACAUAUUUCAGGGGUAUAUCCUUCCCAAGGACAAGCAGAGCAUGAUAUCCAUGAUAGGAUAUAACGUACAAAACCCUUUAGGAAAGGGGAGAGAAAUAUCAUGACAUUACCCAUACAACGGUGUUUGGGGUAAUUGAGCAAGAAACAUUUAGCAUUGGGCUUCAAGUGUUCUUGUUGAAAAUCGGAGUACCACAGACAUGCUUCGAGAUAGCAUUGACAUGGUCUUCAAACAAAGGUCAGACUUUGGAUACACAAAGGAUCCAUCGGGAUAAACUUAUUAAACAAGGCAUUCAAUUUCCUCAUGGAAAAAUGGUGAACCUUGUUAAAAACAAAACUAUAACACUUGGUCCUCCGGUCAGGUGUGCAUGACAUUGCCUUACCAGGUCAUAUGAGGAUCAAUGUUAUCACUCUUGAAAAUAUGUUCCAACCAUCAUAUCUAACAGAGAUUCAGAUCUGAUUGGUAUCAAAAUAACAUCAGACACGGGAUUCCUAAAAAGAAAAGGUGCAACACAAAUUGACGAGAUGACAUUGUAAGAUUCUCGGGAAAUGGACUAUGGAAGCAAGUUACGAAACAAGAGCCCAUCAUUAAAACCGAGAAGAUGAUGAUGAGGUGGUUCAUGGACUUGGUGACAAUUCAUUAAGAUUUCCAAAAAGAUGGGUGCCCUCAAUUAUGUGAACAAGGAGAUAACAUUUGUCUGAUCAAAUGAUAUAAUGAUGUAUGCUCGAGGAAAACAUACACAAUUUAAACAUUGGUUGAAUGGUGCACCUGAAUUAUGGGCUUAUGUAGAAAGAUCAAUGAUAGAAGGGUGAUUCGAUAUCCAAUACACAAAGAAUGUAUCUAUCAUUCAUUAACUUACAAGCAAUAGGGUUGCUAGAAGUUUGGAAUUUUUCACAUCACAAUCCAUUUGUCGAUAUCCGGUUGGAGCACGGGGGCCAUGAAAACAAUGGUGAUGGUGAGAAGCAUCACUUGCAUCAAUAAUUCAUAAGAGGUGGUGAAAUUCUCACAACAUACUUGACAUAAAAGAUGGUAAUAUUCCAAGGUAAAGAAGAACAAAUGCUAGAUAGCAAGGAACUCAAGGUAUAACACAAAACAUGAUCAUGUUUGUGUUGGAGGUAAGGCAAUAAAGUGGCCGAUGAUAAGACAAAUCAUCGAGGGCAAGGAUGGUAUUUCUCAUCAUGAAUUCGAUUGAUAUCCUGGAAGGAGUCAAGAUAUUGAUAAUGAUGAUGACAAAUUUUGUCGAGAGGCUCCACGAAGAAGCAAUCAAACAACGACUACAUCAAGUAACAUGACUGAUGCAGUGAAAGAUUAUUGGAACCACAUAUACGACACAAACUCAAAAUCAAGAUUGUUGUCCAAGGCGAAAUGAUAUGACGAGGAAAAUCGACGUAAGCUUAGCUCAUCAUCAAAAAUUGUGCUUCGGGAAGAAGGACCAUGUAGCACAGUUAAAAUCGGCACGACAAGGAUAUAGCCAAGCAGGCUAGGAAUGACGUGAUCGAGUUCAAACUCAUAAGUAAUGAAGGUUAUCAAGAGUUGUUUAACUGUGGUGCGGACUUGAGUCAGUUAUCGGUGUCUUUGAGUGUUUAGUAACUCAAAGCCCAUGAAAAAUUGGAAUCAGUGAGAAGGUAGCACCUGAUGAAGAACUCACAAGAGUUAUGCAGUUCCAUGAUAAUCUUGAGAUAUCAUAGUGUAAUACUCGAUGGUAGAUCAAAGUAAAGGUUGGACAGGUGCAAUGAUCUGCAGAAGACAAGUGCUUCAACUUGUCCGAGAAAUUGUAUUAAGGAGAAAAUAUGGUCGAAACCAUGAUUGCAAAGGACGAAACAUAGAUACAUGACGAACUUAUAACAAGGGGAUUAUUAUAAUUUACAUGAAGCUUCGAUGAUAAGUUCCACAUCGGGUCCAUGGGCAUGAACACAAAGGCUCAAGGUCGACUCCCACUUCUUCAAUGCAUAACCUUUCACUUCACUUCUCGCUUUUGAUGAAGCUGUAGUGUAGAAAUUUUAUCUGGCGAAACAACAAUAGAGUAUGACUCGCGAAAACUUUCGGGUUCAUAUGGUUUGCGAAAGGCAUAGGUUCAACCCGUCAGGGUAUCGUGGAAACAUAUACCACAAGCUUCAAUCGUAAAUACCACCAGCUCGGAAACAGAGCAUGGUUGAGAAAAUAGAGGAUAGAAUUUACCAGAAGCAUUAUGUAUCCGAGGAAAGCUGUCAGGACCCCGAUUCCAAGUCACAUCGAUCUAGCCGGUAACACCUCAUAUCACUUUGCGGCAUCACGCACGGUAUUCCCACGGGUGUCGCCUUACCAUGGCUCGGAACCGUUUGCAACUUUUGGAUCACGUAUAUGAUAGUGUCACUAGCAUCCAUAUGACAGAGAACCCGGGCCGACAUGGAUAGUCGUGAACCCAAAGCGGCACCAACCUAUGGGGACAGGCAUACAUGAAUCACAUCGAGCAUGUCAGUCAGCAGCAUGUGAAUCCGGGCUGUAGCACUGGGCUAACAGGACUCCGGAUGUCACCGCGUGACAUUUCCCCGAAGGGACAGACAUAGGAACGAAGUGAAACACAUGCCGGCCAGUCAAGUGUCCUGAGCAGUAGUGCUGGGCUAGCAGGACUCCGGUGAACUGGGCUGUAGCGGACUACUAUGGCUCAUGGAAGCACUAGACUACAUUUCCCCAUAAGAGAGGCUGCCAAGGAUAAACAACUAGAUUGUCGGAUCCCACACAUACCAAGCAUUUCAAUCAUACACACAAUAUGCUCGAUAUGUGUAAAUACAACAUGGCAUCACAACAUAACUCUACGACUCAAAUAUUUAUCAUUAAGCUCCGAGGAGCGAGAUAUUACAAACAUGGGUCUCAUGACCCAACAUUCAGAGCAUACAAGUCAAGGCACAUGCGGAAGCUUAACAUGUCUGGGUACAGACAUCUACAAAUGGAAAAGGCUGAGAAGCCUGACUAUCUACCUGAUCCUGCCGAGGGCACAAGAUCAUAGCUGAGGUAUCAAGCUAAACGUCGAAGUCCACAUGGAACUACUAGCGAGACUGAAGUCUCCCUGCAAAACAUAAAUUAAGCAAAUGUGAGUACAAAUGUACCCAGCAAGACUUACAUCAGAACUAACUACAUAUGCAUCGGUAUCAACAGGGUGGCGGUGGAGUUUAACUGCAGCAAGCCAGCUUUGACUCAGUGGCUAACCUGAACUACGACCACAAGCAACUCUUUUGAGGUGGCGCACAUGAGUCCACAUAUUCACCAUUCAAUACACCACUAUGGAUCCGCUCCCGUCUCCCUACGAGAAGGCCAUCCAUAGCACUCACACUUAUCUUGCGAGUUUUAGAGUAUCCUCUUUCACUUGUCUAUGAACUGUUAUAGGCAACCCAGAAGUCCUUUACCAUGGACACGGUUAUUCGGAUAGAUCAUUUAUAACCCUGCAGGGGUGUAGUUCGUCACACAUGUUUCCACCACUUAGCGUCUGCACACGACAUGUGCUCGGCAGACUUCAAGCGAAAGCCGACGUGGGUGUAGACCACGACCUGAAUAACCACACAAGUCUCUAGUCCAGGUUUAUCGCCUAUUCAGGUUCCAUCCGCAAGGAAAUCCGGCCGGGGUGUCCUCAACGGCCCCAAACGAUGUGUACAUGGUCCCGAGACGCCAAACGGGCGCCCGGCAUACCCGACCAUGGUGUAUCUACCGCAUCAUAGCCCACCCCUAGGGUCAGCGCUACGCACGGCCGCGAACACAUAACAUAUAAACACCAGAAACUAGUUGCAACUCCUGGACAGAGGACGAGAGGGGUCAGUAUGUCGAGCGGGGUCAUAUUUUAGGGCCCAAUGUGUGGUAGUAGCUGUUUCAUGGAUCACAAACACAGAACUCAGUUCCUAAGGACGGCUUCAAUGAAACAACCCACCAUGUACACCUACAUGGCCUCUCAUCGAUACCUUUACCAAAUCAUGUUCACACACUUAGCUCACACACCGUAGGACAUGUUCACACACCUCAGAUUCAUCCCCGAUGAACCAGACCUGACACGACUCUAUGCAAUAGUAGGCAUGACAAACAAGCAUGAAUGAGUAGGCACAUCAGGGCUCAAACAACUCCUACUCAUGCUAGUGGGUUUCAUCUAUUUACUGUGGCAAUGACAGGUCAUGCAGAGGAUAAGGGGUUCAACUACCGCAGCAAGUAACAGAUGAAUCGUUGUUGUCCUAAUGCAGUAAAAGAGAGCAGGAACGAGAGAGUGGGAUUGUAUCGGAAUGAGCAAGGGUGUUUUGCUUGCCUGGCACUUCUGAAGAUAACAUUGAGUCUUCAUUAGUGUCAACGAUCACAACGUCGAAACAACGUCUAUCGAGAGGGGACAAAUACCGGCAACAGAGAAAGAAACACAAUCAAUGCAAUGCACAAUAUGAUGCAUGAUCAUGACAUGUCAAUAUGCUGUGGUUUGAGCUAAUGCAACUAGCAACAUGUUAAAUGGAGUUGGUUUGAACCCUAGGUUCAAAUUCAAACUCCAUAUGUGAGAGUUUAAAUUCCAUUUAUGUGAAUUGGCCUAAACAGCAGCCAUAAGUUGUUCUAACAUGCAUGAAAAUGCCAUAAACAGAUUCCUUGAAUUUUUCUGAUAAUUUUUCAUAUAUAAAUUAUUUAAUUUGGAGUUACGGUUUAAUUUCUAUGAUUUUUUGAAGUUUAAGUCAUUUUCUGGAAUUUCCUGAAUUGUUUUAAAACAGAAAUUAAUUACAGCAUCAGCAUGACAUCGUCAUGACGUCAACAGGUCAACGGGGCACGGUCCAGGUCAAACCUGACCAGUGGGACCCACUGGUCAGUGACCCAGUGACAUUUAGUGUCACAGACAGGUGGGUCCGGUCAACGACCACGUCAGCGAGGUCAACGAUGACGCCUGGGGCCACUGUGUUUAGAUUAAUCUUAAUCUAUUUUUGUUAGCUAGUUAGUUAGGCUGUGGGGCCCGCAUGUCAGCGAGCCAGGGGGGUUAGUUAGUGGUUCAAUUAGCCACUAAUGACGCGUCCACGUCAUCCAAAACGGCGGUUAGCCACCGGCGCUAAACGGAACACGGCGGGGUUGCCCGUCCGGCCGAUUCCGGCGACGAGAGCUCGCGCGGCUGGGUCCUGCGGAUGCAGCGCGACGAGGCGCAUCGAUCAGUGGUGGUGGGUGGUGCUAGGGCGGCCGAGAACGGCAACAGCGGCGAGUGAGGCGGCGGCCGGAGCUCGGGGUUGGUCGGGAUGAGCCUGUGGGGCUCGGUAGGGGCUGCGGGUGGUGGCGUUGGCUUGCUGCGGAGCUGCUGAGCACGUAGCCAUGCUCGGGAACGAGCUUUGCUAGCUCUUGUUACGGCGGCGACAAGAACGGUGGCGGUCGGAGUUCGGGAGCAGAUGGUUUCGGGGCUAGAGAGCGUGGGAGGGGGAGAUACUGGUGGCUACGGGUUCGCGGAGACGCGCUGAGCACACUGGUGUGCUCGGACACGGGCUGCAGUGCCCAUGGCCGCUUCUGCAUCAUCGCCGGCGGCGAGGAGCUGACGGCUUCGGUGGAAGAUGCGGCUAGAGGACGGGAACGAACUCAGGGAGGAGGGGGAAAGACGCAGCAGCUCACGGCAAGUUGAAUGAAGGCCUCGGCGUGCUUGGGGAGGGGUUGGUGAUGACGGGAGGUCGGGGGCGAUCUCUGGUGGCAGAGGAGGAAGAAGACGAUGGCAACGGCGAUGCAGGCCGUCCGGGCUUGGUUCCUUCGUCUUGGAGAAACAGCGCAAGGUUUCAGAGCUCGGGGCACGACCGGAGGGCGAGGGGACGGCUGUGGCUGCGCGUACGCAAGACGGUGGCCGGCGAUUUCUCUCGGAUGGAGCUCGGGGAGGAGCUAGGGGGUGAGGGAGAGAGAAGAGAGUGAGGGAGAGGAGCGAGGGGUCUCCAAGGGGGGUCGUGGCGCUCGGAGCCGUCCCCAGCAACAGCGGCAACCAGGAGCUGGCCGAGCGCGUGCGCGCGAGCCGCGGCCGCACGCCCACCUGCCUACUGGCAGGAGGUUAGGGGUGACUGGUGCGUGGCCUUGGUGGGCUGGCUGUCCACUGGGCCGGCCAGGUAAGUCCAGGUACGCCUUUUUUUUGUUUUUCUAUUUGUUUGCUGCUGUUUUGCCUUUAGUAAAAAUACUAAAGCAUUUUGUAAAAUGCUGGAAUAAUUUGUGGACACUCUCUAGAUUAUUCUAGUGGCCCACAUUUAAUUUUAGCAUUAUCUGAGCAUUUAAAUUAUUUGUAGUAUUUAAAUGCCCAAAGUCAAAUACAAUAUGAAUUAAUUCAAAAAUCCAGGAAUGACCUAGAAAUAUGUUCUUCAUUUUUGGCAGAGGUUUUCACCCUUAUCAGAAAUCAUGAACAUUUCAAAGGGCAUUUUUGGUGUCAUUGAAAAUUACUUUAGUUGAGCCUAUUUGAAAUCCAUGUGGUGCUAGGGUUUGAACAUCCCCAUUUCAAGUUUCUGAGAAUUUAAACAUGAUGCAAGAUGAUGAUGCAAAGACAAGCAAGGCCAAAGCUAGGGCUGUGACAACUCACCCCCACUAAACAAGAAUCUCGUCCCGAGAUUCAAGCGUAGGGUAAGGUGAAGGGGGGGGAACACAAGCUAACAUAAUCUUCACGAUCCAGGUUGCACCUCAUAAGGUUGUUGAUUCGUUGCAUACGUUGAUCUUGACAUCCUCGCUUUUGAGAUCUUCAUCCACGCGAUGACAAUGGAAAGAAACCCUACUAGGAUUGGUCUUCUCGAAGAUUGAGCUAUACAAUAUCACUCGCAGAAUGUGUUGAAACAUCUCAAGUUGAGACACAAAACACAUCGAGAGGGAUGGAAGAACAAAUGACAAGGUUUGAUUUGUGGGCAACAAUUCCACACUUAGAAAGAUGGUGGAUGGUGUCAAGGUGGCGAGGAAAUAAUUGCCAUGAUCCAGUAACGGGGCACCUUGGAAAGAAAGUGACUCAUUGAACUGUUACCUUAGUGGCAAAAAGAAUUACUUUUGAUCCAUAGAUCAUUGAAACUCUCUAUACCAGCCUAAGGCAAUUUGCAAUUGAUCGUUUGAAAUAGUUCGAAGAAAUGGCAUAUUCGGACUAGCAUGAAUGAUGUGGACUACCUUGUUGAAGACAACGCAAUGGAUGAUUUGCUUAUCAUCGGAGACGGAUGGGACACAUGGUAAGUCCACUUUUGAAGAUGAUCCUGGACAACUACUACUGAGGUGCAAGUUGGGAACAAAAUGCAAAUGCUGGGAAUGAUUCUGGUAACUAGGGAAAAACUCAACAAUCGAGAGUGUUUCCAAUGUUUCAAUGGUUAUAGAAUCAUCGAAGAAACUGAGAGCACAAGGAUCCCUAAGGAAGAACUUCUAUAAUAAGUCGCACGAAAUCCUCAUGGAAAGAUGGGCAAAGAUACUAUAAUGACAGAUCUUCCGGCUAGGUGUGUCGGCCAGAACAACAACCUUGUCGGGACCUACAUCAUAGAUCUUGGAGAAGUUCCAACCAUAAUAUCUUCCUGAGAUUCAGAUCUGGUUGGUAAUAGGAUAUUUCAGACAGCAUGUCUGGAAAAGAAAGUUUGCAACACAAACCGACGAGAUGACGUUGCGAGAUUCUCAGAAAAUGAACUACGAUAGUAAGCUCCAAAACAUGAGCCGGUUUUGCUACAAACCUGUGAACACGCUGUCCCGGACAAGCAUGACCACAUAGUAGUCUUAUAAUAAAACACUACUGAGUCCAGAUGGGGAACCAUCAUCAAGGAUAUCGAAGUCCUUGGGUAAGUCUAGCUCUUAAGAAGAAACUUCUUCUCCUUGAACAAAUCAAUCAGUGGCUUGGUGUGCUAGGGAUUCAUAUAGAAUGAAGGUUGCAAGUCUCCAGACCACAGAAUACUUCGCACGUAUGCAUGACUGACUUGGGAUGAUUCCAGAGAAAGCGAGACAAACUUUCCCAAAUUCAUGGCGGCAACUUUCUUCAAAUGCACGUGAACUAGAGGAAGUCACUUCUUAUACCAAAAAUAUGCUUCAUGAGUUAGCAUGAAGAAAUGCUUUCAAAGUUUCCAACACUAGCUUAAUGUUCAACAUGAAUCAUGGAUAAGAUGAAAAUAUUGUCGAUGGGCUCGACAACAGGUCAUCCAGAUUUCCGUGAAGAUGGAAUUCCAUAAUUAUGUGAACAAGGUGAUAGCAUUGGUUAGACCCGAAAGAUAUAACGGUGUAUGCUCGAGGAAACAACCACGAGUAAGACAAGAUUAUGAACAUUAUUGGUUCUCAUUUGACUUGACGAUAGCCCACACUCAAAUCAAGGUUUGGACAAGACGAUAGAUUCAACAAUCGAUCCCAAGGAACAAUCGAUGAAAAUAUCAUCUUUCUUCAACACACACACACACACACACAAGGAUAUCCCUUUGGAAUGAACUGAGCCGGACAAGCUUUCAUUUUCCAACUCUCCAAGUUGUUGUUCAGCUUAACCAACUAGCUCGGGGUAUCCAACACAGAUUCUUGGAGAAGGGGUGGUUUACAAGAAACCAACUUGAUCACGAGCUCAACAUAACAGUCAGGGGGCAACCUGGUGAUACUUCCGAGGAAAUAUCCAGAAAAUCACGAACCAUCGAUAUGUUUCUAAGCUCGGGAACAAUCUUGCUUUUCAGAGCAAGACGAUAUGAUCAAGAGAGCGAGGGACUGACACAAUUCUAACUCAUUGAUCAAAGAGUGCACCAGGAAAAAUGGACUAGGUAGCACGGUCAAUCUUAGGAUGAUGAUUCAAUAACCAACACGAUAAGAAAGAAAUUAUUAUCCAUUAGCUACCUAGCAACUAGUUGCUAGGAGUAUUGAUUUCACACAUCAUGGUUUACUUGCCGGCAUUCCGGUUGCGACAACACGGGACCGAGGAAUGAAAAAUGAUGGUAAGAAGUAUCACUGCGUCAAGAAUUCAUGAGAGAGGGUGCAAUUCUCAUGACAAUCCUGACAUAAAGGGGGUAAUACUCCAGGGUAGAACAGAGCAAAAGCUUGAUUGGCAUUUGAUCUGCAGAACACAACUACUUUGACCCAAUCCUGGAUAUGGAUGAGGUACUGGAGUUUGUUUCUCCUAAUCAUUGUGAAAUAGAAUGGCUUAACGGACCACGAGAAUAAUAAACAUCGAUAACACAUAUGCACAAUUACUCCUGACUAUCAAUUGAUAGACGAUGGUCGGAAUAUAAAUGAAGAGGGACAACUCAAGAGGACAUAUAUCUUUCGAAGUUGUGGAUGCAUAGAUUAAUAUGUCGAACCAAGUUCAACAGGUUUCUUCCAGAUAACCCAUGCAGAAAGGUAGAACUGGCAGAGUCACAAUUAUGAAUGGGGAACUCCUCAAGAGUACUCUGAUUGUGAUAUUUUGGUUCAAAGAACUUCUGCCUUAAUGGUUCAUGGUAUUUGGAAGAAGGAAAUACCACGGACCUCGAGGACUGCCGCAAGGUUACUAAUAUCCUAAAGGAACGAGCAAACACUAUCAACAGGAGGUGACUAGAGUGAAUCUCGGGUUCAAACCCAGGAAUAGAAUACCUACUAACUAAAUGGCAUCACAGAAUGCUUUCGAGAAUGAUGGCCAGAAUCAUCACACUGGGAACACAAGACAUGGCUAGAUUUACUAGGUGAUCCUCUAAGACACCUAGGGUCAUAAUACUAGCUCCGACAUAUAUGUCGAGGCAAUAGAGUACCUCAACUCACAGAUUAGUGUGGUUGAACUGGCCCAAAGGGACAUCGGGAACAGGAAGAAGGAAUUUGCAAAUGCAUCAGACUAUUUAGAGACCUGGGAUGACUCGGACAGCAUAAUGGUUGUAAAUGCUCAAAAUUAUUUGAGACAUCUUGCAAAAAUGGUGGCAUAACCACUCAACAACACAAUAUCAAGGUUCUGAGAUCAACUGUCAACAUACGGAAGUAGUAGGAAGGGAACUGAGGCUUGAAACUAUCAAUUCUAUAAGUCUAUGGAUUAGAAGCACGUCAUCCAGAUAGAUAGAUAGAUGAGAAGGCCUAAUUCAUAAUCCCCGUAGAAAAGAAGAGGUUGACUCAGAUCGGAAGGGCAUAGGGUUAAGGAGUAAAAAGAGCCUUAUGUUCCCUUCCACAAUCAAUUCCCUUACAUAACUAAAGCAUUUCUAGACUCGACUUCGACCAGUUUGGCUUGGUAAUCCUACAAGCAGUCAGGCUCUGAUACCAAAGCUGUCAGGACCCUGAUUCCAAGUCACAUCGAUCUAGCCGGUAACACCUCAUAUCACCUUGCGGCCUCACGCACGGUAUUCCCACGGGUGUCGCCUUACCAUGGCCCGGAACCGUUUGCGCCUUUUGCCUCACGUAUAUGAUAGUGUUGCUAGCAUCCAUAUGACAGAGAACCCGGGCAGACAUGGCUAGUCGUGAACCCAAAGCGGCACCAACCUAUGGGGACAGGCAUACAUGAAUCACAUCGCGCAUGUCGGUCAGCAGCGUGUGAAUCCGGGCUGUAGCACUGGGCUAACAGGACUCCGGAUGUCACCGCAUGACAUUUCCCCGAAGGGACAGACAUAGGAACGAAGUGAAACACAUGCCGGCCAGUCAGGUGUCCUGAGCAGUAGUGCUGGGCUAGAAGGACUCCGGUGAACCGGGCUGUAGCGGACUACUAUGGCUCAUGGAAGCACUAGACUACAUUUCCCCAUAAGAGAGGCUGCCAAGGAUAAACAACUAGAUUGUCGGAUCCCACACAUACCAAGCAUUUCAAUCAUACACACAAUAUGCUCGAUGUGUGUAAAUACAACAUGGCAUCACAACAUAACUCUAUGACUCAAAUAUUUAUCAUUAAGCUCCGAGGAGCGAGAUAUUACAAACAUGGGUCUCAUGACCCAACAUUCAGAGCAUACAAGUCAGGGCACAUGCGGAAGCUUAACAUGUCUGGGUACAGACAUCUACAAAUGGAAAAGGCUGAGAAGCCUGACUAUCUACCUAAUCCUGCCGAGGGAACAAGAUCGUAGCUGAGGUAUCAAGCUAAACGUCGAAGUCCACAUGGAACUACUAGCGAGACUGAAGUCUCUCUGCAAAACAUAAAUUAAGAAAACGUGAGUACAAUUGUACCCAGCAAGACUUACAUCAGAACUAACUACAUAUGCAUCAGUAUCAACAGGGGGUGGUGGAGUUUAACUACAGCAAGCCAGCUUUGACUCAGUGGCUAACCUGAACUACGACCACAAGCAACUCUUUUGAGGUGGCGCACAUGAGUCCACAUAUUCACCAUUCAAUACACCACUAUGGAUCCGCUCCCGUCUCCCUACGAGAAGGCCAUCCAUAGCACUCACACUUAUCUUGCGAGUUUUAGAGUAUCCUCUUUCACUUGUCUAUGAACUGUUAUAGGCAACCCAGAAGUCCUUUACCACGGACACGGUUAUUCGGAUAGAUCAUUUAUAACCCUGCAGGGGUGUAGUUCGUCACACAUGUUUCCACCACUUAGCGUCUACACAUGACAUGUGCUCGGCAGACUUCAAGCGAAAGCCGACGUGGGUGUAGACCACGACCUGAAUAACCACACACGUCUCUAGUCCAGGUUUAUCGCCUAUUCAGGUUCCAUCCGCAAGGAAAUCCGGCCGGGGUGUCCUCAACAGCCCCAAACGAUGUGUACAUGGUCCCGAGACGCCAAACGGGCGCCCGGCAUACCCGACCACGGUGUAUCUACCGCAUCAUAGCCCACCCUAGGGUCAGCGCUACGCACGGCCGCGAACACAUAACAUAUAAACACCAGAAACUAGUUGCAACUCCUGGACGGAGGACGAGAGGGGUCAGUAUGUCGAGCGGGGUCAUAUUUUAGGGCCCAAUGUGUGGUAGUAGCUGUUUCAUGGAUCACAAACACAGAACUCAGUUCCUAAGGACGGCUUCAAUGAAACAACCCACCAUGUACACCUACAUGGCCUCUCAUCGAUACCUUUACCAAAUCAUGUUCACACACUUAGCUCACACACCGUAGGACAUGUUCACACACCUCAGAUUCAUCCCCGAUGAACCAGACCUGACACAACUCUAUGCAAUAGUAGGCAUGACAAACAAGCAUGAAUGAGUAGGCACAUCAGGGCUCAAACAACUCCUACUCAUGCUAGUGGGUUUCAUCUAUUUACUGUGGCAAUGACAGGUCAUGCAGAGGAUAAGGGGUUCAACUACCGCAGCAAGUAACAGAUGAAUCGUUGUUGUCCUAAUGCAGUAAAAGAGAGCAGGAACGAGAGAGUGGGAUUGUAUCGGAAUGAGCAAGGGGGUUUUGCUUGCCUGGCACUUCUGAAGAUAACAUUGAGUCUUCAUUAGUGUCAACGAUCACAACGUCGAAACAACGUCUAUCGAGAGGGGACAAAUACCGGCAACAGAGAAAGAAACACAAUCAAUGCAAUGCACAAUAUGAUGCAUGAUCAUGACAUGUCAAUAUGCUGUGGUUUGAGCUAAUGCAACUAGCAACAUGUUAAAUGGAGUUGGUUUGAACCCUAGGUUCAAAUUCAAACUCCAUAUGUGAGAGUUUAAAUUCCAUUUAUGUGAAUUGGCCUAAACAGCAGCCAUAAGUUGUUCUAACAUGCAUGAAAAUACCAUAAACAGAUUCCUUGAAUUUUUCUGAUAAUUUUUCAUAUAUAAAUUAUUUCAUUUGGAGUUACGGUUUAAUUUCUAUGAUUUUUUGAAGUUUAAGUCAUUUUCUGGAAUUUCCUGAAUUGUUUUAAAACAGAAAUUAAUUACUGCGUCAGCAUGACAUCAUCAUGACGUCAGCAGGUCAACGGGGCACGGUCCAGGUCAAACCUGACCAGUGGGACCAACUGGUCAGUGACCCAGUGACAUUUAGUGUCACAGACAAGUGGGUCCGGUCAACGACCAUGUCAGCGAGGUCAAUAGUGACACGUGGGGCCACUGUGUUUAGAUUAAUCUUAAUCUAUUUUUGUUAGCUGGUUAGUUAGGCAGCGGGGCUCGCAUGCCAGCGAUCCAGGGGGGUUAGUUAGUGGUUCAAUUAGCCGCUAAUGACGCGUCCACGUCAUCCAAAACGGCGGUUAGCCGCCGGCACUAAACGGAACACGGCGGGGUUGCCCGUCCGGCCGAUUCCGGCGAUGAGAGCUCGUGCGGCUGGGUCCUGCGGACGCAGCGCGACGAGGCGCGUCAAUCGGUGGUGGUGGGUGGUGCUAGGGCGGCCGGGAACGGCAACGGCGGCGAGUGAGGCGGCGGCCGGAGCUUGGGGUUGGUCGGGACAAGGGUAUAGGGCUCGGUAGGGGGUGCGGGUGGUGGCGUUGGCUUGCUGCAGAGCUGCUGAGCACGUAGCCAUGCUCGGGAACGAGCUUUGCUAGCUCUUGUUAUGACGAUGACAAGAACGACGGCGGUUGGAGUUCGGGAGCAGAUGGGUUCGGGGCUAGAGAGCGUGGGAGGGGGAGAUACUGAUGGCUAUGGGUUCGCGGAGACGCGCUAAGCACACUGGUGUGCUCGGACAUGGGCUGCAGUGCCCAUGGCCGCGUCUCAUCAUCGCCGGCGGCGAGGAGCUGACGGCUUCGGUGGAAGAUGCGGCUAGAGGACGGGAACGAGCUCAGGAAGGAGGGGGAAAGACGCAGCAGCUCACAGCGAGUUGAACGAAGGCCUCGGCGUGCUAGGGGAGGGGUUGGUGACGAUGGGAGGUCGGUGGCAAUCUCCGGCGGCAGAGGAAGAAGAUGAUGGCAACGGCGAUGCAGGCCAUCCGGGCUUGGUUCCUUCAUCUUGCAGAAACGACGCGAGGAUUCAGUGCUCGGGGGCACGACCGGAGGGCGAGGGGACGACUGUGGCUGCGUGUACGCGAGACGGUGGCCGGCGGUUGCUCUCGGAUGGAGCUCAGGGAGGAUCUAGGGGGUGAGGGAGAGAGCAGAGAGUGAGGGAGAGGAGCAAGGGGUCUCCAGGGGGUGUCGUGGCGCUCGGAGCCGUCCCCACCAACAGCGGCAACCAGGAGCUGGCCGAGCGAGUGCGCGCGCGUCGCGGCCACACGCCCUCCUGCCUAGUGGCAGGAGGUUAGGGGUGACUGGCGCGUGGGCCUCAUGGGCUGGCUGUCCACUGGGCCGGCCAGGUAAGUCCAGGUAGGCCUUUGUUUUUGUUUUUCUAUUUGUUUGCUGCUGUUUUGGCUUUAGUCAAAAUACUAAAGCAUUUUGUAAAAUGCUGGAAUAAUUUGUGGACACUCUCUAGAUUAUUCUAGUGGCCCACAUUUAAUUUCAGCAUUAUCUGAGCAUUUAAAUUAUUUAUAUUAUUUAAAUGCCCAAAGUCAAAUACAAUAUGAAUUAAUUCAAAAAUCCAGGAAUGACCUAGAAAUAUGUUCAUCAUUUUUGGCAGAGGAUUUCACCCUUAUCAGAAAUCAUGAACAUUUCAAAGGGCAUUUUUGGGGUCAUUGAAAAUGACUUUAGUUGAGCCUAUUUGAAAUCCAUGUGGUGCUAGGGUUUGAACAUCCCCAUUUCAAGUUUCUGAGAAUUUAAACAUGAUGCAAGAUGAUGAUGCAAAGACAAGCAAGGCCAAAGCUAGGGCUGUGACAAAAGGCUCACAAGGUUAUUGAAUAAUGAGGACACUAUCAAAUAAUAAUCCAAUGAAGGAUCUGACGGUCCAUAACGGAGCUGAUGUGAGCAUCGGCACACAACCAGUUGAAGAAAGGAUGCAAGGGCAUCAGAUUAUAGAACAUCUGAAUGAUUCGAUGCUUAGAUAUCAAAGGAAUUAUGAUUUCCAAAAAGAAUGAUCAGAAGCAGACGCUCUGAUCAAGGGUGGAUAAGUUCAAUAGACCUAAGGGUACAAUUGACGGCAAACAGAUUGGUCGAGAACAAGCUCAUGUUCACACAUGACUUCUGAGCCAGAAAGAUAAUUGAAAAGGAUCACUGAUGAUUGCAUGCAUUCGCACUCAUGUUGAAUCAAUAGGAUCAAAAUGACGGUGUCUAAGGAUACUAACGAAUAUUGCCAGACAUAUGGAAAGCAUUCAUAAUGCAAGCAGACAAGUAUUGCUGAGCAAUAAGCUACCGAGGAAUUUUGGAGGAUCAAAUAGUAUUUCGAAGACCAUUGUGAAACACAUGAACAACUGGGGAUGAGUGGAUACUCGAUAAGGGCGAGAAAUUAUCCGUAGGGGUAUUUAGGUGGAAAGGAACUGUAAGGCAGUAGGCACAAAGUAUUGUCGGAUCAAUAGAGAGAAUUUCAGGAUAUCUUGUAGUGACAAGAUCAACUGGGAACAACAGUAAGAACGACAUAUGUAUGUAUUUAUCCAUAGGGAUAUUUCGGUGGUAGGGAAUUGAAAAAGCAACGGACACCAAGUCUCGAGUGAACAUCGAAGAGUAUCUUCGGAAUCCUUCGGUGCAGCACGCGAUCAUCUAUGCUAAGGGCUCUCCGGGACGAAGUGGUUACGAGAACCUAGAGUUAGAGUUAGUAAAUUCAUUUUAAUCCGAAUAGAAGAGAGGGCAGAGUCCCAGAGUAUAGGUCGAGGAAUAAAAGAUCCUAAUACCACCCAAUGGCGACGUGAGCCCGUAAGGCGCACAGCCAUGUUAGUAAAAGUUUUGUAAUGUCUAGACUCGACUUCGUCCAAGGAGUGUGGAAGGGGGAUUCCUACAGGCAGUCGGCUCUGAUACCAACUUGUGACGCCCCCGAUUUGACCGUACACUAAGCAUGCACGCAAAUGUGUACGAUCAAGAUCAGGGACUCACUGGAAGAUAUCACAACACAACUCUAAAACAUAAAUAAGUCAUACGAGAAUCAUAUUACAAGCCAGGGGCCUCGAGGGCUCGAAUACAAGAGCUCGAUCAUAGAUGACUCAGCAGAAGCAAUAAUAUCUGAGUACAGACAUAAGUUAAACAAGUUUGCUUUAAGAAGGCUAGCACAAACUGGGAUACAGAUCAAAAGAGGCGCAAGCCUCCUGCCUGGGAUCCUCCUAACUACUGCUGGUCGUCGCCAGCGGGCUGCACGUAGUAGUAGGCACCUCCCGAGUAGUAGUAGUCGUCAUCAACAGUGGCGUCUGGUUCCUGGACUCCAUCGUCUGGUCGCAGCAUUCGGGUAUAGAAAGGGGGAAAAGAGGGAGCAAAGCAACCGUGAGUACUCAUCCAAAGUACUCGCAAGCAAGGAGCUACACUACAUAUGUAUGCAUUGGUAUCAAAUGGAAUAAGGGUAUCAUAUGUGGACUGAACUGCAAAAUGCCAGAAUAAGAGGGGGAUAGCUAGUCCUAUCGAAGACUAUGCUUCGGGCCACCUCCAUCUUGCAGCAUGUAGAAGAGAGCAGAAGGUAAGUUCACCAAGUAUCAUCGCAUAGCAUAAUCCUAACUGAUGAUCCUCCCCUCGUCGCCCUAUGAGAGAGCGAUCACCGGUUGUAUCUGGCACAUGGAAGGGUGUGUUUUAUUAAGUAUCCGAUUCUAGUUGUCAUAAGGUCAAGGUACAACUCCGGGUCGUCCUUUUAUCGAGGGACACAGCUGUUCGAAUAGAUCAACUUCCCUACAGGGGUGCACCACAUUUCCCAACACGCUCGAUCCUCUUUGUCCGGACACACUUUUUUGGGUCAUGCCCGGCCUCGGAAGAUCAACACGUCGCAACCCUACCUAGGCACAACAGAGAGGUGAGCACGCCGGUCUAAAUCAUAUGGCGCAGGGGUCUGGGCCCAUCGCCCUUUGCACACCUGCAUGUUGCGAACGCGGCCGGAAGCAGACCUAGCCUAGCAGGCGUUCCAGUCUAAUCCGGCGCGCGCCGCUCAGUCGCUGACAUCACGAAGGAUUCGGCUGAUACCACGACGUCGAGUGCCCAUAACUUUCCCCGCGUAGAUGGUUAGUGCGUAUAAGCUAGUGGCCAGACUCAAAUCAAAUACCAAGAUCUCGUUAAACGUGUUAAGUAUCCGAAAACGCUGACCAGGGCCAGGCCCACCUCUCUCCUAGGUGGUCUCAACCUGCCCUGUCGCUCCGCCACAAAGUAACAGUCGGGGGCCGUCGGGAACCCAGGCCCACCACUACCUGGGUGGAACCACCGGCCCCGUCAGCCCCCAUCUCCGAACAUUAUCAUAGGUAAUGUAACAGUGUAAAGUAUAUAGUAUAUGCCCGUGAUCACCUCCCGAAGUGAUCACGGCCCAGUAGUAUAGCAUGGUAGACAGACAAGAGUGUAGGGCCACUGAUGGAACACUAGCAUCCUAUACUAAGCAGUAGGAUAGCAGGUAAGGGUAACAACUGUAGCAACAAUGACAGGCUAUGUAGUAGAAUAGGAUUAACCGAAAGCAAUAACAUGCUACACUACUCUAAUGCAAGCAGUAGAGAAGAAUAGGCGAUAUCUGGUGAUCAAAGGGGAGUGCGCUUGCCUGAUUGCUCUAGCAAGAUAGAGCGGUCGUCAACUCCGUAGUCAUACUGGGUAGCAGCAGCGUCAGUCUCGGUGUCUAGCGAGAGAGGAGGGGGGAAUAAACAAUAAAUAUUAAGCAAACAGAUGCAUGACGAUGCAUGACAAGACAAAGCGUGAUGCUAGGCGUGCCCUAACAUGGUACGAGGUGGUACCGGUGAAAGGGGAAAACAUCCGGGAAAGUAUUCCCGGUGUUUCGCGUUUUCGGACAGAUGAACCGGAGGGGGAAAGUUGCAUGUUCGCUAUGCUAGGGAUGCGUGGCGGACGAACGGGCUGCUUAUUCGAGUUCGUCUCGUUGUUCUGAGCAACUUUCAUGUACAAAGUUUUUCCAUCGGAGUUACGGAUUAUUUUCUAUGAUUUUUCAAAGUUUUAACUAUAUUCCAAAAUUAUUAUUAAUUUGAAAUAAAAGGGGAAACUUCUAUGUGCACCCAGCAGAGUGCAGUCACCGGAGGCUGACAGUGGGGUCAACAGUGCAGUCAGCAAUCAACUAUUAACUGUUGACUGGUCAAAACUGUAGAUGGGGCCCGGGUGUCAUUCACACAUAUCUUGCAUUUUCUUUUUAAGUGGAUAUUUAGAGGGGGGGUCCACCUAUCAUUUGCACUAUACCUAACCACUGAUUAGACUAACUAGUAGGAGUACUAGUUAGCUAACGGAGAGCCGGCCGGCCACCACACACAGAACACACACGCACAAACAAUGCCAGGGUUAAGAAAAGAUAGCAUUUUGUGAUUUUUGUAGGAUUUAAACCAUGCAUCAAAUGAAUUUGGUCCAGUGGAGUAUUUUGAAGUUUGUCAAGUGUACAUUCUACUUAUAUUUGUUUUUGGCCUCUUAGUAGUUGUUUAACCGGAGUUUAGGGGCUGCGAGGGGGUUACUCGAUGUAAUAUUUGUAAAGCUAACCAUAGUAGCAGCUACAGUAGUUAGUAGUAAUAGUAGGUUCAGUAGAGCAGCAAACGACCGCAGUAGCAAGUAGCAGAGGCAAGGGCAGCAGCUAGCAGCAUCAACAGCAGUCAGCGAGCAGUGGCAGCGAGCGGCGCGAAGCCAGGGCGCGCGGGCGCAGACGCGGAGACGCACGCAGCGCACGCAGGGAGGGCGAGUAGGGUGUGUCCCCGAUGCAGGCAGCGCGCGGCAAGGGACAUGGGAGUUGUCACAUCCCUAGCUUUACCUUGGCCUUGGACUAGCUUGGUUGUUGGAUCAUGUUUAAAUUCAAAUGAAAUUUGAAUUGGGGAAUUUUCAAAGCCUUAGAAUCCUUUUAAAAAUGAUCAAGAUAAAAUUGCUUCAAAUAAGUCUAAGAAAAUGUUCUUGUUAUCCUCUGGAAAUAUUGGCAAGAGGUAAAAUCCAAACCAAUAUUUUUGGUGUCUCAGAAACAUUUAUUUUGGGCAUUUGAAUUAAAUCAAUAACUAUUUGAAUUGGAUUUAUAUCUACUAUUAAAUAAAUAUAGGUCCAAUAAUUCUGAAAUAUUUUAUGGAGCUUUGGUUUAAUUUUUUUGCUUCUAAAAAUAUUUCCAGAAGCAACAAAAUUGAAUUGGUUUCAAAACCAAAUUCAAAACAAACCUGCAAAACAGAAAACAGAACAGAAUUAGAAAAACACAGAGAGAGGAAAAACCCACCUGGCUUACCUGCAGCCCACCUGGCCUGACACUGGUGGCCCAGCCCACCAGGCCCUCCACCGUCUUCAACCUCCUACCAGUGGGCAGGAGGGCGUGUGGCCGCCGUGCGCGCCCACGCGCUCCGCGCCACCUCCUGCUUGCCGACGAGCCCCUGGACACGUCGACGAUUCUCCCCGUGUCUUCACGAUCCCGCUGACCCCCUCUCACUCUCUCUCGAGCUCACCCCCCUCCUCUGCUCUUUCUCCCUCUCACCACCAUUGCCGCCGUUCGCCGUACCCAAGGCCACCGACCACCCCUCGCCCUGCCGCUGAGCCUAGAAGCUCCGUCGCGUCGUCCUCGACCUCCUCGCUGAGCUACGCAACACCAAACGCUCCGGAGCCUCGCCAACGCCACCGUCUUCGUCCUCGGGUGCCGGAGAUCCCCGCCGACGUUUCGACGGACCCCGUGUCUCCCUUGCCUCUCCAGCGGCACCAGAAGAACCGCGGUGAGCCUCUGCACCAUUUUCCCCAUACCCCGUCGCCUAAUUCACCCUCCAGCCACCGUUCCCACCGAAGCCAUGAGCUCUUCGCCACCGGCGAUGGUGCAGACGAGGCCAUGCGCACUGCAGCCCAUGUCCGAGCACUCCAUCGUGCUCAGCACGCUCCCCGUAGCACAUAUCACCCCACCAUCGUCCUCCCCGUGCACCACAAUGCGAUCCCACACGCAACCGAACUCUGACCGCCGCCGCGAGGUUUUUUCUGGCGAGCUCCGGUCACCCCACGACCUCCCACGUGCUCCCUUGGCUGCGGGCGAGCAAGGGCUACGCCCUAGUGCCCUCGGCACGUGCAGCCGACGCCCGUAGCGCGUUUCCGGCAUGCCUCCGUCACGCUGGAUGGUCGCCGGUGGACUAACCCCGGCCGUGCUGACGUGGCCAGGUUAAUUAGGCGUUAACCACCUCUUAAUCAAACCCAAGAGUCACAGACAGCCGGGCCCCACCUCAUAAUUAACCACAGGGUUAUUCCCUGCUUUAAUUAAGCUAAUGCUUUGACCCGCCACCUCAGCGUUGACCUGGCCCCACUAGUCAGCCUCUGUUCUUGCCCUGUUACACUAACGUGUGGACCCCACACGUCAGGAAUGACCUGGAUCGUGCCGUGUUGACCUGCUGACGUCAUGAUGAUGUAGUGAUGAUGUAGUAAAGUUUUCUGGAAUUAAAAUAAAUCAGAAAUGAUUUAUAAAUUUCAGAAAAUACCCCAAACUUCUAAAAAUGAUAGAAAAUCAACCAUAGCUCAGAAUUAGAUAAAUUAUAUAUGGAAAAUUAUCAGAAAAAUUCAAGGAAUCCAUCUGUACCAUUUUCAUGCAUGUUUGAACAAUGUUUGUCCUCUGUUUUGGACAAAACAAAUAAAGGCAUUUAAAUAAUCAUAUAUGGAGUUGGAAUUUGAAUCACGUAUUCAAACCAACUUCAUUUAAAUCAUAGCUAGAUGCAUUAGCUCAAAUCAUGCAUCAUAUUGUGGCAUUGCAUUGAUUGUGUUCUUUCUCAGUUGCCGGUGUUUGUCCCCUCUCGAUAAACGUGGUUCCGACAAUGUGAUCAAUGACACCGCUGAAGAACUAUACUAUCUUCAGAAGUGCCAGGCAAGCAAAAACCCCUUGUUCAUUCUGAUAUAAUCCCACUCUCUCGCUCCUGCUCUCUUUUACUACAUUAGGACAAUAGCGAUUCAACGGUUACAUGUUGCGGUAGUUGAACCCCAUUCCUCUGCAUGUCCUGUCAUUGCCACAGUAAAUAGAUGAAGCCCACUAGCAUGAGUAGGAGUUGUUUGAGCCCUCAUGUGCCUACUCAUUCAUGCUUGUUUGUCAUGCCUACUACUGCUUAGAGUUGAGUCAGGUCUGAUUCAUCGGGGAUGAAUUGGAAUGGUGUUGAACAUGUCCUACUGUGUGUGAGCUAAGUGUGUGAACACGAUUUGGUAAAGGUAGCGGUGAGAGGCCAUGUAGGAGUACAUGGUGGGUUGUUUCAUUGCAGCCGUCCUCAGGAACUGAGUUCUGUGUUUGUGAUCCAUGAACAGUUACUGUCACACAUUGGGUUUCGGUAACUCGGCCCCUCUCGGCUUAUUAAUCAACUCGAUCUCUGUCCAGGAGUUGCAACUAGUUUCUAGUGUUUGUAGGUAGUGUUAGUAGUCUACCAAGUGGCACCCGGUACAGGUGGGCUUGGGACAGACUAGGCACAGUGGCACGGUGUACCAAGUGGCACCCGGAUGGUGGGCUUGGGAACCCUGCUCACGUCGUUUGGGGCCGUGAGCGACACCCCGGCUGGAUCUCCUUGCGGAUGGAACCCGAAUAGGCGAUAAACCUGGACUAGAGACUUGUUGGUUAGUCAGGUCGUGGCCGACUCCCUCGCCCGGCUUUCGCUUGAAGGUUGCCGAGGUACAUGACGUGUACAGGGCGAUAAGUGGCGAGAGCGUGUGUGAAGAAGUACACCCCUGCAGGGUUAUCAUUAUCUAUUCGAAUAGCCGGAUUCCUCGGAUAUGGAAACUUGGACCCCUUGCAUAGUUAAUAGACAAGUGAAAGUGGAUACUCUAAAAUGCGCAAGAUAAGUGUGAGUGCUAUGGAUGGCGUUCUCGCAGGGAGACGGGAGUGGAUCCAUAGUGGUGUAUUGGUAUGGUGAAUUUGUGGACUCGUGUGCGCCACCUCAAAAGACUUACUUGCAGUCGUAGUUCAGGUUAGCCACUAAGUCAAAGCUGGCUUGCUGCAGUCAAACUCCACCACCCCUUAUUGAUACUGAUGCAGAUGCAGUUAGUUCUGAUGUAAGUAUUGCUGGGUACAUUUGUACUCACGUUUGCUUAAUUUAUGUUUUGAAGAGAGAUGUCAGUCUCGCUAGUAGUUCCACGUGGACCUCGAUGUUUAGCUUGAUACCUCAGCUACCAUCUUGUGCCCUCGGUAGGAUCUUGUAGAUAGUCAGGCUUCUCAGCCUUUUUCAUUUGUAGAUGUCUGUACUUAGACAUGUUAAGCUUUCACGUGUGCUUUGACUUGUAUGCUCUAAAUGUUGGGUCAUGAGACCUAUGUUUGUAAUAUCUCGCUCCUCGGCGCCUAAUGAAUAAAUACUUGAGUCAUAGAGUUAUGUUGUGAUGCCAUGUUGUAUUUACACAUAUCGAGCAUAUUGUGUGUAUGAUUGAAAUGCUUGGUAUGUGUGGGAUCCGACAACCUAGUUGUUUAUCCUUGGUAGCCUCUCUUAUGGGGAAAUGUAGUCUUGUGCUUCCAUGAGCCAUAGUAGUCCACUACAGCCCGGUUCACCGGAGUCCUGCUAGCCCAGCACUACUGCUCCGGAACACUUGACUGGCCGGCAUGUGAUUCACUUUGUUCCUGUGUCUGUCCCUUCGGGGAAAUGUCAUGCGGUGACACCCGGAGUCCUGCUAGCCUGCUACAGCCCGGGUUCCCGGAGUCCUAUUAGCCCAGUUGCUACAGCCCGGAUUCACACGCUGCUGACCGACAUGCUCGAUGUUGAUUGAUGUAUGCCUGUCCCCGUAAGUUAGUGCCACUUUGGGUUCACGACUAGUCAUGUCGGCCCGGGUUCUCUGUCAUAUGGAUGCUAGCGACACUAUCAUAUACGUGAGCCAAAAGGCGCAAAUGGUCCCGGGCCAUGGUAAGGCGACACCCGUGGGAAUACCGUGCGUGAGGCCGCAAAGUGAUAUGAGGUGUUAUAGGCUAGAUCGGUGUGACUUAGAAUUGGGGUCCUGACAGGAGCACAGGCUCCGGCCAUGGCAGCCACGAACGAGCACGGGGACGGCCGCCAACGAAUGGAUCGAAGUGAAAAAUGGGGGAAUCGGGGGAGGGCCUCAUAGCGGGGUGCUUGGCGUGCUCGUUGUAGUCGGAGAGGACUGGAGGCGAGCGGAUCGAUGACGGCGUUGCAAUGGCCGAAGGUAGAAGAAGAUGAGGAUGGCGAGCUUCUGGUGCGGGCGUCGUUGGAGGAGCCUCCCAGCUCUGCUCCGCGCCGAAGGAGAGCGAGGGCGAGGCGGCAGGAGCCUCUCAACACAGAGAGGCAGCGAUGGGUGGCCGACGGCCAUGCCAGCCAUGAUGACGGGGCGACGACGGUAGCGAUCGGGUGCGGGGCGGCUCUGGGCGAGAGAGAGGGCGACGAGGGAGAGAGGGGGCCAGUGGGCGAUUAGGGUUCGCUGGGGAAGGGGGCGCCGGCCUUUUAGGAGGGGGGAGUCGGCGGAUGGCCUCCACGGGGAUGGCCGCGGCCGUGGCACGCAUCGGCUCUGUCCACGAUCCCCCGUGAACAGAGCGGAGGGGGCAGCGGGAGCAGGUGGGCCGGCCCGCUAGGUAGAUGGGCCGGGUGGCCCAAUGGAGGGGAGGCUUUGUUUUAUCUUUUUAUUCUUUGAUUCUUUUCUUUUAUUUAUUUCUCCAUUUUUAUUUAAAUGCUAUAGUAAAGGAACUUAGUUAAACUUGAAAUCUGGCUCAUAAUUCAAGAACAACAUUGUGGUGUUGCAUAAAAAGUUUUUGAGCCAAAGGAAUUGUUUGGGCAUUUUUAGAAAUUGAAUAAGUCAUUUAAUAUGCUAUUGGACCACUAUAUAAUUUGGUGAGGGCAUUUUUAAUAAUUCAAAUGAGGUUGGUUAACUCAUCACAAUUUAAUA
rnacentral:lncRNA from 1 species